rnacentral:rRNA from 1 species
GACGAACGCUGGCGGCGUGCUUAAUACAUGCAAGUCGAACGCUUUUUCUUUCACCGGAGCUUGCUCCACCGAAAGAAAAAGAGUGGCGAACGGGUGAGUAACACGUGGGUAACCUGCCCAUCAGAAGGGGAUAACACUUGGAAACAGGUGCUAAUACCGUAUAACACUAUUUUCCGCAUGGAAGAAAGUUGAAAGGCGCUUUUGCGUCACUGAUGGAUGGACCCGCGGUGCAUUAGCUAGUUGGUGAGGUAACGGCUCACCAAGGCAACGAUGCAUAGCCGACCUGAGAGGGUGAUCGGCCACACUGGGACUGAGACACGGCCCAGACUCCUACGGGAGGCAGCAGUAGGGAAUCUUCGGCAAUGGACGAAAGUCUGACCGAGCAACGCCGCGUGAGUGAAGAAGGUUUUUCGGAUCGUAAAACUCUGUUGUUAGAG